UAGGAAAGCAUCGCGCCGGGCGUCACGUGGUCCUGUGGGCUCGAAGGACCCUUACAAACC
rnacentral:rRNA from 2 species